rnacentral:lncRNA from 1 species
GUCUUUAUAAGAAGAGGAAGAUCGACCAGAGCUCUCUCUCUCUUCUCUAGGCAUGUGCUCUGAGAAAAGGUCAUCUGAGGACAAAGUACCCGUCUGCAAGCCAGGAAGAGAGCCCUUGCCAGAAACUAAACCCCGCUGGAAACUUGAUUUUGCGCUUUCCAGCCUCUAGAACUAAUAUGUGAAAAACAUUUAAAUCAGAAAGUAAAUGACAGGAUGAUUUGCAAGACACAGGGAUGUAAAAUUAAAAAGCCUCUCGAGCUCCAAAGGGGGAUGCAUCAGGACGAUAAUUCCAAGAGUUCAAUGGUGAAUUUCCUUGGCUUCCACUGAGGUUCCUUGGAGUCUCAGAAAAACCCAGUGAAUCCAGUCUCAAGUGAACCCAGUGAUGGUGAUUCAUGGUUCCUGAUUCUUUUCUAAACUGCUUUCUCAAUUCUCUUUGUUCAUAAUCUUUCCCAGGCAGGAAACUCAAAAGAGAGGUCAGAGAAGGACAAGAAUCCUCAUGCUAUUUGGCAUCUUAUUGUAAGACGUGGUGGAAUAUGUUCAGCAAGUAAAUUUGGCAGAAUUGAAGAGUAAAGGAUUGGCAUAUCAAAAUGCAUAUACAAAAAAAUUAAUCAAAGCAAACAA